GACUAGCAUCCAUGAGGAUGAGGGUUCGAUCCCUGGCCUCGCUCAGUGGGUUAAGGAUCUGGCGUUGCUGUGAGCUGUGGUAUAGGUCACAGAUGUGGCUCAGAUCCCACGUUGCUGUGGCUGUGGUGUAGGCUGGCAGCUGUAGCUCCAAUUUGACCCCUAGCCCGGGAACCUCCAUAUGCCACAGCCACUGUAGAAGCAACGCCGAGUAGUUAUGUUGUGAGCCACACAGGAAGUC
rnacentral:lncRNA from 1 species